AAGUCGUAACAAGGUUUCCGUAGGUGAACCUGCGGAAGGAUCAUCAUCGAAUUCAUAUCCCCCUCCUCUCCCCGAGGGGGACCCAUGAUAAACCCUCUGUGCACCGCAAACCGUUCACUUUGGCAGGCUUUGGUGGUGAGCGUGAGCUCACCUCCAACCUCGCGUUCCCUCCUUAAGGGCGUUACGCGUGGCGGCCUGCCGAAGUCCUCCCAUUAAAAACACGUUUUCGAACACGUCUGAAAAUUUGCUUUGAGAGAUCAAAGAAUCGAAAACAACUUUCAACAACGGAUCUCUUGGCUCUC
rnacentral:misc_RNA from 1 species